GCCCCUUCUCUCCUGUACAAAACAUGAAUAAACGAACUCUGUUCUUAUCAGCUUAAUAUCUGAUACGGGUCCUACUAGGGCCGAAGAUAUGAAACUUAUUUUUCGAAUGGGACGGAGUGCUUGAAGGUUGCUUCACCUCCGCCGUGGGUUGGCGCGGUAUUGCACUAUCUCCAGGAUCGGCCCACUCACC